rnacentral:rRNA from 1 species
AACGGCCGUACCAUGCUGAAUAUACCGGUUCUCGUUAGAUCACCGAAGUUACAUCAUUGGGCGGUCAGUACUUGGGUGGGUGACCAUCUGGGAACACUGCGUGCCGUU